GACGAACGCUGGCGGCGUGCUUAACACAUGCAAGUCGAACGGAAAGGCCCUGCUUUUGUGGGGUGCUCGAGUGGCGAACGGGUGAGUAACACGUGAGUAAUCUGCCCUUGACUUUGGGAUAACUUCAGGAACCUGGGGCUAAUACCGGAUAGGAGCUCCUGCUGCAUGGUGGGGGUUGGAAAGUUUCGGCGGUUGGGGAUGGACUCGCGGCUUAUCAGCUUGUUGGUGGGGUAGUGGCUUACCAAGGCUUUGACGGGUAGCCGGCCUGAGAGGGUGACCGGCCACAUUAGGACUGAGAUACGGCCCAGACUCCUACGGGAGGCAGCAGUGGGGAAUAUUGCACAAUGGGCGGAAGCCUGAUGCAGCAACGCCGCGUGCGGGAUGACGGCCUUCGGGUUGUAAACCGCUUUCGCCUGUGACGAAGCGUGAGUGACGGUAAUGGGUAAAGAAGCACCGGCUAACUACGUG
rnacentral:rRNA from 1 species